rnacentral:rRNA from 1 species
UACAGAGGGGGCAAGCGUUGUUCGGAAUUACUGGGCGUAAAGGGCGCGUAGGCGGCCUGCUAAGUCGAACGUGAAAUCCCCGGGCUCAACCCGGGAACUGCGUCCGAUACUGACAGGCUUGAAUCCGGGAGAGGGAUGCGGAAUUCCAGGUGUAGCGGUGAAAUGCGUAGAUAUCUGGAGGAACACCGGUGGCGAAGGCGGCCUGCUGGGCAGUUGCUGACACUGAGGCGCGACAGCGUGGGGAGCAAACAGG